rnacentral:rRNA from 1 species
AUUGAACGCUGGCGGAAUGCUUUACACAUGCAAGUCGAACGGCAGCACGGGGGCAACCCUGGUGGCGAGUGGCGAACGGGUGAGUAAUACAUCGGAACGUGCCCAGUCGUGGGGGAUAACGUAGCGAAAGUUACGCUAAUACCGCAUACGAUCUACGGAUGAAAGCGGGGGACCGUAAGGCCUCGCGCGAUUGGAGCGGCCGAUGUCAGAUUAGGUAGUUGGUGAGGUAAAGGCUCACCAAGCCGACGAUCUGUAGCUGGUCUGAGAGGACGAACAGCCACACUGGGACUGAGACACGGACCAGACUCCUACGGGAGGCAGCAGUGGGGAAUUUUGGCCAAUGGGCGCAAGCCUGAUCCAGCCAUUCCGCGUGCAGGACGAAGGCCUUCGGGUUGUAAACUGCUUUUGUACGGAACGAAAAGGCUCUGGUUAAUACCUGGGGCUCAUGACGGUACCGUAAGAAUAAGCACCGGCUAACUACGUGCCAGCCGCCGCCGUAA